rnacentral:rRNA from 1 species
ACGAACGCUGGCGGCGCGCCCUAACACAUGCAAGUCGAACGGGGAAGGGAUAGCAAUAUCCAGUGGCGAACGGGUGCGUAACACGUGAAGAAUUUGUCCAAACGGUGGGGGAUAGCCGGCCCAACGGCCGGGUAAUACCGCGUACGACCUUCGGGGGACAUCCCCUGAUGGUGAAAGUCGCAAGACGCCUGAUGGAUGAACUUCGCGGCCCUAUUCAGCUUAGUUUGGUGAGGUAAUGGCCUUACCAAGGACUGACGAUCGGUAGCUGGUCCGAGAGGAUGACCAGCCACACUUGGGACUUGAGAACACGGCCCCAGACUCCUACGGGAGGGGCAGCAGUGAGGGAAUAUUGCGCAAUGGGGCGAAAAGCCCUGACGCAGCGACGCCGCGUGCUAGGGAUGACGGUCCUUCGGGAUCUGUAAACCUACUGUUCGCGGAGGGACGAAGCUAUGACGGUACCUCAAGAGGAAGCACCCGGCUAACUACUGUGCCAGCCAGCCGCGGUAAUACGUAGGAGGCAAGCGUUGUCCGGAGUUACUGGGCGUAAAAGCGCACGGCAGGCGGUCUCUUUAGUCUGUAGGGACAGGGCACAGCUCAACUGUGUCAGGCUUACGGAAAACUGGGAGGACUUGAGGGCUUCAGAGGGAUGGGGAAUUCCGGGUGGAGUGGUGAAAAUGCGUAGAGAUCCGGAAGAACACCAAAGGCGAAGGCACCAUCCUGGGGAGUCACUGACGCUCCGGGUGCGAAAGCCAGGGGAGCGAAACGGGAUUAGAUACCCCGGUAGUCCUGGGCCGUAAACGAUGACCACUAGAUGUGCGGGGGAUCGACCCCCUGCGUGGCCGUAGCAUACGCAUUAAGUGGUCCGCCUGGGGAGUACGGUCGCAAGAUUAAAACUCAAAGGAAUUGACGGGGACCCGCACAAGCAGCGGAGCGUGUGGUUUUAAUUCGAAGCAACGCGAAGCACCUUACCAGGGCUUGACAUGCUAUCGCACCACGGUGAAAGCCGUGUACCUUCGGGACGGUAGCACAGGUGCUGCAUGGCUGUCGUCAGCCAUCGUGUUCGUGAGAUGUUGGGUUAAGUCCCCGCAACGAGCGCAACCCCCUAUUUUUCGGUUUAUAUGUGUCCGGAAAGACUGCCGUGAUCAACGCGGAGGAAGGUGGGGAUGACGUCAAGUCAGCCACGGCCCUUACGUCCCGGGCGACGCACACGCCUACAAUGGCCGAGACAAAAGAGUCGCCAAACCCGCGAGGGGGGAGCCAAUCUCGUCAAACUCGGUCCUCAGUUCAGAUUGGAGGCUGCAACCCGCCUCCAUGAAGCCGGAGUUUGCUAGUAAAACGUAGGUCAGCACACUACGUUGAAUCCGUUCCCGGGUCUUGUACACACCGCCCGUCACACCACGAAAGUCGGCAACACCUGAAGCCGCUGGGCUAACCGCAAGGGGGGCGGGCCGUCGAGGGUGGGUGUCGGUGAUUGGGGUG